ensembl:snoRNA
GUCCAAAGAACAAUGAUGUACUCUUUUCCAAGCACAUAUCUGACCAAUCCAUGUGGAAAAUGUUUCUGAGUUUUUUGGAC